GGAGGAUCACUUGAGCCUGGGAGGUAGAGGCUGCAGUCAGCAGAGAUCAUACCACUGCACUCCAGCCUGAGUGACAGAGAAAGACCCUGUCUC
rnacentral:miRNA from 1 species